UUCUCCAACUGGCUGCUCGGACUCACCACACCUUACCAAGAAUUUCUGCUGCUUCUGUAAAAUAUAAAGGCUUUGGGAAGGACACAUAGGGCUUAACCAAGGAUGUGAAAAAAAAUAGACAUAUUUCUAUGCUGAGAGAGAAGUUCAGUGGAGAAAUGCCAGCAUGUU